rnacentral:rRNA from 1 species
AGAGUUUGAUCCUGGCUCAGAGNNNNCGCUGGCGGCAGGCUUAACACAUGCAAGUCGAGCGCCCCGCAAGGGGAGCGGCAGACGGGAGAGUAACACGUGGGAACAUACCCUUCAGUUCGGAACAACCCAGGGAAACUUGGGCUAAUACCGAAUACGUCCGUAAGGAGAAAGAUUUAUCGCUGAAGGAUUGGCCCGCGUCUGAUUAGCUAGUUGGUGGGGUAAUGGCCCACCAAGGCGACGAUCAGUAGCUGGUCUGAGAGGAUGAUCAGCCUCACUGGGACUGAGACACGGCCCAGACUCCUACGGGAGGCAGCAGUGGGGAAUAUUGGACAAUGGGCGCAAGCCUGAUCCAGCCAUGCCGCGUGGGUGAUGAAGGCCUUAGGGCUGUAAAGCCCUUUCGGCGGGGAAGAUAAUGACGGUACCCGCAGAAGAAGCCCCGGCUAACUUCGUGCCAGCAGCCGCGGUAAUACGAAGGGGGCUAGCGUUGCUCGGAAUCACUGGGCGUAAAGCGCACGUAGGCGGCUUCUUAAGUCAGGGGUGAAAUCCUGGAGCUCAACUCCAGAACUGCCCUUGAUACUGAGGAGCUUGAGUCCGGGAGAGGUGAGUGGAACUGCGAGUGUAGAGGUGAAAUUCGUAGAUAUUCGCAAGAACACCAGUGGCGAAGGCGGCUCACUGGCCCGGUACUGACGCUGAGGUGCGAAAGCGUGGGGAGUAAACAGGAUUAGAUACCCUGGUAGUCCACGCCGUAAACGAUGGAUGCUAGCCGUUGGCGGGUUCACCCGUCAG